CUCAUUUAAAGGAGAUACUCCAGCCUCAUUUCAUUUUGUUUUUCCUCUGAAAAGGAGAUUGUGCUUCCCGUUACCCGUCAAAUUGGUGCCACUGUCAACCGUCAAAUUUUCCCCCUUUUAAAAAAAAAAAAAUUAUUUAUUAUGGCUUCGGCAGCGGACAGAAGCGUUGUGAGCUUCAAUGGCGGCGGCAAUGUAAGUUUGUCGUUGCAGGUCUGGGAUGCGUUAAGGAACGUGGAUUUCAGAACACCAAAAUCCAGUGAUUUCAUACAACGACAUACGUCGAGCAGCAAAGUUUCAACUCAAAUGCGGCCGUGAACUUAACGAUCAGAUUGAAGGCUUUAAUUUUGAAUGUUUUUUAUAGCCUACUGAACAGCUUAAAUACGGCUCUGGAUUUAGCCAUCAAAUUGAAGAAUUCAAUUUUGGAAGCUAUUUAUCACCGACUGAACGGUAAUGAAGCACUCUCUUUCAUUGAAGCAUUUCAUGCGCUUCUUGGUGACCUUGCCUUGUUUCCGACAACCUUAAUUGAUUUACACUUUCAAGUCUUGGGUGUCUCACCACUUCAUACACAUUUUGCUAUCGUCUUGCUUUUCUUCAUGGCUACAAUUGUCCGUCGCAUUGCAUAUAUGGAGAUAAAACUACGACCUCAAGACGCUGGGUAUCUUCCCAUAUUGAGUUUCAUUUGUCUGGUUUCUGAAAUUAUUGCUAUUGAGCUACUCUUCGCAAUAAUCAUCUCUCCCUUUUGGCUAUUUAUAGUUAAUUUAUGCCCAAUCUUGAUCCUAGGGGUACUGCGUCAUUUGUACCAACAAAUUUAUCAUUGUGUUUACUACACAACUAAUUUAGUACUCAACUCAGUA